UACGUAGGGUGCAAGCGUUGCCCGGAUUUAUUGGGCGUAAAGAGCGUGUAGGCGGCCAGGUAGGUCCGGUGUGAAAACUCGAGGCUUAACCUCGAGAUGUCAUCGGAAACCAUCUGGCUAGAGUCCGGAAGAGGAGAGUGGAAUUCCUGGUGUAGCGGUGAAAUGCGCAGAUAUCAGGAAGAACACCAAUGGCGAAGGCAGCUCUCUGGGACGGUACUGACGCUGAGACGCGAAAGCGUGGGGAGCGAACAGG
rnacentral:rRNA from 1 species